UACAGAGGUCUCAACCGUUGUUCGGAUUCAUUGGGCGUAAAGGGUGCGUAGGCGGUCGGGUAAGUCGGAUGUGAAAUCCCAGGGCUCAACCCUGGAACUGCAUUCGAUACUGCCUGGCUAGGGUACUGGAGAGGAGAUUGGAAUUUACGGUGUAGCAGUGAAAUGCGUAGAUAUCGUAAGGAAGACCAGUGGCGAAGGCGAGUCUCUGGACAGUUACCGACGCUGAGGCACGAAGGUCAGGGGAGCAAACGGG
rnacentral:rRNA from 1 species